rnacentral:rRNA from 1 species
AUUGAGCGAUGGCGGCAGGCUUAACACAUGCAAGUCGAGCGAGCGGAGGACGGGUGAGUAAUGUCUGGGAAACUGACUGAUGGAGGGGGAUAACUACUGGAAACGGUAGCUAAUACCGCAUAACAUCAGAUGUGCCCAGAUGGGAUUAGCUAGUAGGUGGGGGAAUGGAUCACCUAGGCGACGAUACCUAGCUGGUCUGAGAGGAUGACCAGCCACCCUGGAACUGAGACACGGUCCAGACUCCUACGGGAGGCAUCAGUGGGGAAUAUUGCACAAUGGGCGCAAGCCUGAUGCAGCCAUGCCGCGUGUGUGAAGAAGGCCUUCGGGUUGUAAAGCACUUUCAGCGAGGAGGCGUUACUCGCAGAAGAAGCACCGGCUAACUCCGUGCCAGCAGCCGCGGUAAUUC